GGAGCUAAACAACAUUUACCAGCCUACCACAGAGUUAUGGGGGAGAAGGUUAUAUGACCAAGAUUUAGACAACAAAAAGUGAUCAGAAGAUGGAAUUUCGCUCUUGUUGCCCAGGCUGACGUGCAAUGAAUGGUGCAAUCUCAGCUCACUGCAACCUCUGCCUUCUGGGUUCAAGUGAUUCUCGUGCCUCAGACUCCCAAGUAGCUAGGAUUACAGGUCAUCUGAAUAUCCAGGCACAACCCAGGCAUACUAGACCUUGAUCACACUGGAAGUGCGUGACCAUGGGGAUGUGGUGUGUAAAGCAAGAAAACAUAGGGACAGAAAUACAACACUGGAGAGAUCACUUGAUGUCAUUUCUGAUGGCUUUUAUCCAUCCUGCCCAAAUAAAAUAAACAAAUUACCCUGCUACUUUACAAUGCUAUUAAAUUUUUUUUUUAAUUUUAUACUUGGUUUGUAUUUAGCUGGAUUGCUCUAGUGUUCCUCUGAUCUAAACUAGCUGCUUCUGCACUUUUUCUAACUAACCCAUUAAUAUGCUAGUAAACUAAUAACCAACAUUUAUAUAAGGCUCUAUAUUUAAAAUGCUUUCACAUUAAUUAUCUCACUAAAUUCAGUUUAUCCUACUCCACAGAGACAACCUGGUAUUUCUAAAGUAUA
rnacentral:lncRNA from 1 species